rnacentral:rRNA from 1 species
AACGAACGCUGGCGGCAGGCUUAACACAUGCAAGUCGAGCGCCCCGACAGGGGGGCGGCAGUCGGGUGAGUACCGCGUGGGAACGGACCGUUGGGUUCAGAACAACUUAGGGAUACUGGGGCGAAAACGGGAGAAGACCUAACGGGGAAAGAUUUAUCUCCGACGGAUGGGAGCACGUCUGAUUAGCUAGUUGGGGAGGUAACGGCGCAGCAAGGGGACGAUCAGUAGGUGGUCUGAGAGGAUGAUCAGGCACACUGGGACUGAGACACGGGCCAGACUCCUACGGGAUGCAGCAGUGGCGAAUAUAGGACAACGGGCUCAAGCCUGAUGCACCCAUGCCGCUUGAGUGAUGUAGUCGUUAGAGUUGUAAAGCUCUUUUGUCCGGGAAGAUAAUGACGGUACCGGAAGAAUAAGCCCCGGCUAACUUCGUG